UACGUAGGGGGCAAGCGUUGUCCGGAAUUAUUGGGCGUAAAGAGCGCGUAGGCGGUCCGAUAAGUCGGCUGUGAAAGUCAAGGGCUCAACCCUUGAAAGCCGGCCGAUACUGCCGGGCUAGAGUACGGAAGAGGCGAGUGGAAUUCCUGGUGUAGAGGUGAAAUUCGUAGAUAUCAGGAGGAACACCUGUGGCGAAGGCGGCCAUCUGGACGGUGACUGACGCUGAGACGCGAAAGCGUGGGUAGCAAACAGG
rnacentral:rRNA from 1 species